AGAAAAUUAGUUAAAAUAUAACAUAAAUAUGUCAAGUUUAAAUUACUAAAAAUUAGUAUUUUCUG
rnacentral:tRNA from 1 species